UACGGAGGGUGCAAGCGUUGUCCGGAAUCACUGGGCGUAAAGGGCGCGUAGGCGGCUCGGUAAGUAGGGGGUGAAAUCCUGCGGCUUAACCGCAGGGCUGCCUUCUAAACUGUCGAGCUUGAGCACGGUAGAGGCAGAUGGAAUUCCCGGUGUAGCGGUGGAAUGCGUAGAGAUCGGGAAGAACAUCAGUGGCGAAGGCGGCAUCCUGGACCGGUAUUGACGCUGAGGCGCGAAAGCUAGGGGAGCAAACGGG
rnacentral:rRNA from 1 species